GCGUGAAGGACGAAGGCCUUCGGGUUGUAAACUUCUUUGAUCAGGGACGAAACAAAUGACGGUACCUGAGGAACAAGCCACGGCUAACUACGUGCCAGCAGCCGCGGUAAUACGUAGGUGGCGAGCGUUAUCCGGAUUUACUGGGUGUAAAGGGCGUGUAGGCGGGCUGACAAGUCGGAUGUGAAAUUCCCGGGCUUAACCCGGGCGGGUCAUCCGAAACUGUUGGUCUUGAGUACUGGAGAGGAUAGUGGAAUUCCUAGUGUAGCGGUAAAAUGCGU
rnacentral:rRNA from 1 species